GAGGUGUGUGUGUGUGUGUGUGUGUGUGUGUCCCAGGUGUCCUGGCCCUAUCUGGGCUGGCCUUCACUCUGGCCAAGGUGGCCUCUCAGGUCUUUCCAGCUCAGAAGCUCCCAGUCAUGCCGCCAAGAGCUGCUGCCCUCUGUCUCAGGACCAGAGAUGAAUGCACCAGGCUGGCUUCCUCAAGAGGCCUUGGCACUUCACUGGCAUCCCGGGGGUGUCCCCUAGCAGCUCCUAUGCUGAAAGACCUUGUGUCACUGUGCUUCUGGCCUGUCACUCUCCGAUUCCCUCCCUGCUGGAACCCACCAGGACACCCACACUCCAGAAGGUCUCUACUGUGUCGUGGCUGAUGCAGCUGGGCCCAUGUGACUGGCAGGCUGCGCUGUAAAGCAACAAGAUUGCCAAGAUGCUGAUGCUGCCCCUGUAGCCAGCAAGGGCCUGGCGGCUAGAGGCACAGCCUGGUGUGUUUGUGGGGGGGGAGGCGUGAUGCCUGGAUGUACCAUUCCUUAACAUCUUCCCAGAUGUUCCCAGUGAUAUAAACUGAAGUUCUUCGAUGAAGGAGCAUCGAUACUAUAGAUCCUACAGCUCCAUAGCCAAAAUUACCUUCGGCUAGUUUAGACCCU